GAACUGAUAGAGAUAACUUGUUUAAGAUGGAGAAGAAAGUAAAAUACCUGGGUAUCACUAUGACAAAUAUGAACUCUAUGUUAUUUCAAAAUAGCUAUGUUAAGACAUGGAAUGAAGUUUUUAAAAAGAAACGUUAAGAUGGGAGAAACUACAACUGUCAUUGCUGGGGAGAAUUUCUGUGAUAAAAAUGAAUGUCUUGCCUAGAAUGAUGUUUUUGUUUCAGGCAAUACCUGUUUUGACAACUGAUAUACCAUUUAAACAGUGACAGAAGGAUAUAUCUAAAUUUGUGUGUCAGGGGAAAAACAUGAGUUAAGUAUAAGGCAUUAAAAGAUGAAGAGGAAAAAGGAGGACUGGGUUCACCUGAUUUGAAAUUGUAUUUUGCAGCUUGUUGUUUGAUUUGGAUGAAAGAGCGGGUGCUGCUGACAAACAGAAGCCUUUUGGAGUUAGAUGGGCAUGACCUGAGUUUUGGGUGGCAUGGAUAUUUCUGGUAGGAUAAUGUCAAGGUUAUUAUGGAUUUUGUUUGACAUGCCAUAUUGAAAAUAUAGAAUAGAUACAAACCCAGAUUGUUCUUGAAAACAUCCU